CCUACGGGAGGCAGCAGUGGGGGAUAUUGCACAAUGGGGGGAACCCUGAUGCAGCGACGCCGCGUGUGGGAAGACGGUCCUCUGUAUUGUAAACCACUGUCCCCAGGGACGAAGAUGACGGUACCUGGGGAGGAAGCUCCGGCUAACUACGUGCCAGCAGCCGCGGUAAUACGUAGGGAGCGAGCGUUGUCCGGAAUUACUGGGUGUAAAGGGAGCGUAGGCGGGACUGCAAGUUGGGUGUCAAAUCUACCGGCUCAACCGGUAGCCGCACUCAAAACUGCAGUUCGUGAGUGAGGUAGAGGCAGGCGGAAUUCCUGGUGUAGCGGUGAAAUGCGUAGAUAUUAGGCAGAACACCAGUGGCGAAGGCAGCCUGCUGGGCUUUUACUGACGCUGAGGCACGAAAGUGUGGGGAGCGAACAGGAUUAGAGACCCCUGUAGUC
rnacentral:rRNA from 1 species